UCAGUUGUUUACAAUUCGUCGUACCGUCGACUUCGUCGGGUUUUGCUGCGCCGAGUCGCCUAGUCGCCAAGUCGGUGCGCGAACGCGAAUUAGGAGGGUGUUGCGCGAUAGAAAGUUUGGGGAUUUUUUUUUUGAUCUUGGUGGGAUAUGGCCGGUGCGCGACCACGGGAGUCUCCGUGACUCACAAUCAGCUGUUGGUCCGAAAACAAACCGGUCCGCGGAGUUGGCAUAAUGAGAGGUUGAGGAAGUGGCGAACAGUCGUGUCCAGUACUUGAGUGAAACCUUCCUCGGAAGAGAUAAAAAAGAGUGUUAAUUAAUUCGAUCCACUAACCCGGCGCGAGGAGAAGAAACUUUGCCAACUAUACAGUGAGCGCGCGCAAGGUGGAAGCAUGUGCGUGACUUCCUCAAUCGCGUGAGAGAGUGAGAUCAAAACGAUUGGCGGAAGAGAGGAGGAACAUGAUGAAGAAGAAAACGAGCGUGUUCGAGCUGCCGCCCAAGUGUCCGGCCCUGGCGGACAAGAUCACCGGGAUCUUCGGCUGGCGGCACACCUACCGGGUGUCCCAGAAGCAGAAGGGCAUCCCGCACUGCAACCAGUACCUGCACAAAACGUACUCGCUCAAUCUGCCGCGGAAGAACCCGGAGUCAUGGGUCGUGGUGCACCACCUGCAGUCCGAGUCCGGCAUCCUCGAUCCGGACGACCAAAUCAGCGAUGUGGCCGACGACCGGGAGGAGCUCAUCGCUGCCUACGAGGACUGCCCGGGCGGUCUAGAUCCGGGUGUUCCCCAGGGCGGUGGAGAUGGUGCCAGCGGUAGCUCCGUAGGCACCGGCUCCCCGGACAUAUUCCGCUCCGAACCCGGUAAGUACGGUCCGGAAAGCUCGACACCUCACAUUGAGGUCACCUCCACGGCGGAACCUCCCAUGGGCCUCGGCCUGCAAGUCAGACGUGGUAGCGAACCCUCGCUGCACCAAAUCGGAGUCACGGAUCAGCGCAGUCCGCUGUACAACGUGAGUCCAAACGGAGGUUCCCACCCGGACACGAAACGGUGGUCGGCGGCACCGGUCUGCCGCAGUGACACCGAACCCCCGGAACGUCUACUCUCCCCCUCGAACGGGGUCGUCGCGUACAUGUCACCCGAGUGGAACGUCCUGCCGGAGGAGGAAUCUCACGACAGUCUGCCGCAGCAGUUCAGCCGCUCCGGAAGGCUGUCGAUGCAGUUCUUGGGCGCGGAAGCCACCGCCAACGGGUACCGGUGGAUCGAUGCCGCAGAGCGGGCCGCGGCCAACGUUAGCUACAACGGUGUCGGUACGAGCAGCAGUGCCAACAGCAGCUUCAACUCCAAAUCGCUGCCGAGGGAGUCCAAGCGGAAGGAACCACUUGGGCAGGCGAACGCCUCCGUGUACGAGUCGAUCCGGGAGAAGGACGGCGAAAUGCUCCUGGUGGUGAACGAAAACGGCGGUCCCCUGGGUCUCUCGGCCAUCCCAGACCCGGACUACGGUGGACUGCUGGUGCAGAGCGUGGAACCGGGCAGCCGGGCCGACCGGGGGCGGGUCCGGCGCGGCGAUCGCAUCCUCGAAAUCAACAACAUCAAGCUGUUCGGCCUCUCGGAGAGUUCCGUCCAGGAACACCUCAUGAAGAGUCUGUCGUCGCCGGAGCUGCGGCUGCGGGUGAUCCGGGCCGGGUCCGCCCGGCAGAACAAGCGCGACAACCGCGUCUCGCAGAUGAUCGAAGCGGAGGAGAAGCCGGUCGGGGCGAAGGUGGCGACGGUGUCACCUACGCGGAAGGUUCCGGGUGCGCCGUCGGGGAUUAGUCUUCAGACCGCGAAUACGCGGAAGCUCGGCAAGCGGAUAGAGAUCUCGCUGAAGAAGGGCGUCAAUGGGUUGGGCUUUUCGGUGACGACGCGGGACAACCAGGCCGGUGGCCAGUGUCCGAUCUACAUCAAGAACAUCCUGCCGAAGGGCGCCGCCGUCGAGGAUGGACGACUGAAGCCGGGCGACCGGCUGCUCGAGGUGGACAGCGUCCCGAUGACCGGCAAGAGUCAGAGCGAGGUGGUGGCUAUUCUGCGCGCGACCGAGUACGGAGCAACGGUUAAGCUGGUCGUGUCCCGGCAGACGGAACUCGCGGAAGUGGAGGAGCGGGAAAUUGGUUGCGGCGUGGAAAGCGAGAAGAGUACCCCUCCGAAACCUCCGCCACCGGUGCUCCCCAAGUCAUCGCUGAAGCAGUCGUCCCGUGCACGGUCCGAGGAAUUGCUGGACGUGAACGACUCCCCCACCAGUCGUGGACCACCGCCGAUUCAGAAGAAACCUCUCACGUCGAUCCUGAAGUCCGCCUCGACCAACCAGGUGUCGGAACUGUUUCAGGAUCAACCGUUGCAAGCGUCGUCGGCGUCGUCUGGCUCGAGGACGGCCGCGCCCGGUGGUUUCCAGUGGAAGAAUCGGGAGAUACUGACGCUGCACAUCCCGGUUUACGACACGGAGAAGGCCGGGCUGGGCGUUAGUGUGAAGGGUAAGACGGGAUCUGGGAAUAGUAGCAACGGAAGCUCGGGUUCGGGCAGUAAACACGACGGAGAUCUGGGGAUCUUCGUGAAGAGUGUGCUGCACGGUGGGGCGGCGAGCCGCGAUGGACGGUUGAAGAUGAACGAUCAGCUGUUGAGCGUGAAUGGGGUGUCGUUGCUGGGGCAGUCGAACGCCGAAGCGAUGGACACGCUGAGGAAGGCCAUGCUGCAGACGGGAGGAACGAAUCAUCCGGGCAAGAUCAUCUUGACGGUGGCACGUCGUAUUGGUCGACCUGUUAGCACGGGAGAACUGCUGGAGUCGAUCGACAACUCCAACUCCAGUGAUCAAUCGGGAGCGACCGUGAUCUACGUCACCUCGGACAAGCAGCAGCAGCCAUCGAGCGAGAAGCAGCAGCAGAACAAGCGCUACAGCAAUCCGGUGCUAGAUCGGCUUACCGGAGGAACCGGCCAGGGCAACCUGCAGUCCACAGGUGCCGGCGGUAGCAACGGCAGUCUCAACCCGAACAGUGCCAGCGGAAGUCCCAUCAACCAAAGAACGACGGCUGCGGCGGCGAAUCUCCACGCGCUACGCAACGAAAGCUACUACAUGGCCACCAACGACCAGUGGAGCCCGGCGGGGGUGAAUCUCAACGGAAGCAACGCGGUCCUGAUCGAGGAAGAUCCGGAACCGACCUCACCAACAUUCCACCUUUCUCGACCCUCGGAUGGAGCCAACUCCACGUCAACGCCCAUCGGAGACGUCACGUACGCCAGUCAGCUCUCGCUGGACACGAACCCACCGGCGGUGGACGCCUUCAGCCGGGACGCGAUCGGUCGCCGAUCGAUGUCCGAGAAGCACCACGCCGCGUUGGACGCGCGUGAAACCGGAACCUAUCAGCGCAACAAGAAGCUCCGCGAGGAACGCGAGCGUAAGCUCAACUCGUCCAACGGGACGGGAGGUUCCGUCGAGUCGUUGACCGCCCAGAUGGGUCGCAUGAACAGCCUCAAGACCAAGUCCGAACUGCGAGCGGAGGCGCUCGAUCGGCUGGGCGAGCUCGGACCUUCGCUCGGUAUGAAAAAGUCGUCCAGCUUGGAGUCGCUGCAAACGAUGGUGCAGGAGAUCCAGAUGGCGGACGAACCGCGCGGUCCGAACGCGCUGCGAACGCCGCGAGGUCGCGGCCGGGAAGAGAUCCUGCGAGCGGCCGUGGAACGACCGGAGACGCAACCCAAAAAGCACUGGCUCCUCGAGGACGCCGCCCCCGAGGUUGACUCCGGCGGUUUCGUCCGCCGCGGAAGUCCGUUCCAGUCCUCCCUGAACGACGGCAAGCACGGCGCCAAAAACCGCCCGAAAAAGAACGGCCUGUUCCGCGGCAUCGGUCACAUGUUCCGGUUCGGCAAGCACCGCAAGGACGGCAUCGCCCCCAUCGCGGACAACGUCCCCGCAGAUUACACCGCCGGCGGAUGGAGCGAAGCGCCAACCAACCCAACCGCUCAGCAAAAGACGCAAACGCUGACCGUGAAGAACAACAGCUCGAAAACGAACGCGACGCCAGCGUCGUCGACGACGACGACCGCCGCUACCAACGGUCCAACUCCGAACGGAACGAACCUGUCGAACGGUGGCGCCCCGACGAAGGGCACCAACUCCAUCGAGCGAUCCGCCAGUUCCGGGGUGGUCGUGAGCCAUCCUCCGCUGUACCAGCCACCGCCUCCUCCCCCGAACCAACAGCAUCCGCAGAAUGGGGCGGUUCCGACGUCGAUUCACCACACGGACGUGUUCAACCAUCGGUAUUCGCACUACGUGAAUUACGAGGAGCUGCAGCAGCAGAUUAGCCGAACCUCCAGCUGGCACCAGCACCACCACCACCACCACAACCAGCCGAGCCCGAGCCUACCGUUCGCAGUCCCCUCAGGCGCUGGUCCUACUCGAGGAGGAAGAUCUCAUCUCUAUCGGCAGAUUUCGCACCCGGGGGCCGGCGGGUCCGGAACGGGUGCCAGCGGUUGCCAACACCAACACUACCAGCACCACCCGCACGGUCAUCCGUACCACUACAGCCGACGGCAGCGACAGCCAACGCCAACCAGUCCAACUCCGCGGGCCGAGGUCACAGCUGCUGAGCAGCGACUACUGUCGGUACGUGGCUCGAGCGGCCGGAAUGACGACGACCAACGGCGGCGGCGGUAUUACGCCGCCCAGCGGUGGCCCUAGUCCGGUGGAUUUCUUGUCGGAAUCCACGCUGGAACAGAUGCGCCAACAGGUGCGCCACCAGCGGCUCAAGGUGGAAGAGGAAAGUCGACGUCACCAUCACUAUCAUUCCCAAAGAUCAACCCGGAACACCCCUCCGGUGGACAUUGCCAUGCAUCAGCAGCAGCAGCAGCAACUGGCCGCGGCCCAGAAGCUGAAACAGGCCCGCCCCGUGUCCAGCUAUUA
rnacentral:misc_RNA from 1 species